CGCGGGAUGGAGCAGUCUGGUAGCUCGUCGGGCUCAUCGUCGGGCUCAUAACCCGAAGGUCGUCGGUUCAAAUCCGGCUCCCGCAACCA
rnacentral:tRNA from 1 species